GCUUACGGCCAUACCAGCCUGAAAGCGCCCGAUCUCGUCAGAUCUCGGAAGCUAAGCAAGGUCGGGCCUGGUUAGUACUUGGAUGCGAGACUUCCUGGGAAUACCAGGUGCUGUAAGCA
rnacentral:rRNA from 1 species